GGAGAGGUUUCCGAGUGGCUUAAGGAGCACGACUGGAAAUCGUGUGUGGGUUAAUCCCCACCGAGGGUUCAAAUCCCUCCCUCUCCGCCA
rnacentral:tRNA from 1 species